AGGGGAUGAUAAUCCAAAUGUAAAUAUUCUACGAGAUAUACUGUUGACUUAUUCAUUUUACAACUUUGAUCUUGGUUAUUGCCAGAGAUAACCUCUCAAGAUGAAGUGGGACCUUCAAGUGUUGUUAUUAAUUUUGAUGAUUGAAGUUUUGCCACAAUUUGUUAGUUAUCUAAAGUACAUGUGCGAUGAUUCAUACAUUGAAAGCUACAUAAGCACCAUCGGAGUUGAUUUUGGAAGCAGUACAUGUAUGAAGCAAUCAAAUCUGAUGACUUUGCUACUCUUAUAUACACAAGUGG
rnacentral:sRNA from 1 species